rnacentral:rRNA from 1 species
AGAGUUUGAUUAUGGCUCAGGAUGAACGCUGGCGGUGUGCUUAACACAUGCAAGUCGUACGAGGUUAUUAGGACUUGUCUUGAUAAACUGCAGUGGCGGACGGGUGCGUAACGCGUAAGAACUUACCUUUUGGAGGGGGAUAACAAUGGGAAACUGUUGCUAAUACCCCAUAAUGCUGAGGAGCUAAAGGUGAAUAACCACCAAGAGAGAGGCUUGCGUCUGAUUAGCUAGUUGGCGGGGGUAAAGGCCUCCCAAGGCGACGAUCAGUAGCUGGUCUGAGAGGAUGAUCAGCCACACUGGGACUGAGACACGGCCCAGACUCCUACGGGAGGCAGCAGUGAGGAAUUUUCCACAAUGGGCGAAAGCCUGAUGGAGCAAUACCGCGUGGAGGAAGACGGAUCGUGGUCUGUAAACUCCUUUUCUCAGAGAAGAAUUUAUGACGGUAUCUGAGGAAUAAGCACCGGCUAACUCUGUGCCAGCAGCGGC